GAUGAACGCUGGCGGCGUGCUUAACACAUGCAAGUCGAACGAUGAACCAGGUGCUUGCACUUGGGGAUUAGUGGCGAACGGGUGAGUAACACGUGAGCAACCUGCCCAUGACUCUGGGAUAAGCGCUGGAAACGGCGUCUAAUACUGGAUAUGUGACGUGGCCGCAUGGUCUGCGUUUGGAAAGAUUUUUCGGUUGGGGAUGGGCUCGCGGCCUAUCAGCUUGUUGGUGAGGUAAUGGCUCACCAAGGCGUCGACGGGUAGCCGGCCUGAGAGGGUGACCGGCCACACUGGGACUGAGACACGGCCCAGACUCCUACGGGAGGCAGCAGUGGGGAAUAUUGCACAAUGGGCGGAAGCCUGAUGCAGCAACGCCGCGUGAGGGAUGACGGCCUUCGGGUUGUAAACCUCUUUUAGCAGGGAAGAAGCGAGAGUGACGGUACCUGCAGAAAAAGCGCCGGCUAACUACGUGCCAGCAGCCGCCGUAAAAC
rnacentral:rRNA from 1 species